rnacentral:lncRNA from 1 species
UCCACUAUGAAAUCUACCAGUAUUUGGGCCUUCACUGCUGGCCUGGGUCGAUAGUUGAUGUCGAAUUCUGUGAGCUCGAUCGCCCACUUUGCCAUCCUUCCAAAGGCGUCCGUCCGGUGCAAAAUCGCCUUGAUCGGUUGAUCAGUGAGCAGCGUCACGGUGUGUCCUUGAAAGUAGGGCCGGAGCCUCCGGACUGCGAUCAACAAGGCAUAAGUCAGUUUUUCUAAUUUGGUGUACCUGGUCUCG